UGGGGAAUUUUGGACAAUGGGCGCAAGCCUGAUCCAGCCAUGCCGCGUGUGUGAAGAAGGCCUUCGGGUUGUAAAGCACUUUCGGACGGAACGAAAUCGCGCGGGCGAAUACCCCGCGUGGAUGACGGUACCGUAAGAAGAAGCACCGGCUAACUACGUGCCAGCAGCCGCGGUAAUACGUAGGGUGCGAGCGUUAAUCGGAAUUACUGGGCGUAAAGCGUGCGCAGGUGGCGUCGCAAGUCAGGCGUGAAAUCCCCGAGCUCAACUUGGGAAUUGCGCUUGAAACUACGGUGCUGGAGUGCGGCAGAGGGAGGUGGAAUUCCACGUGUAGCGGUGAAAUGCGUAGAGAUGUGGAGGAACACCGAUGGCGAAGGCAGCCUCCUGGGUCGACACUGACGCUCAUGCACGAAAGCGUGGGGAGCAAACAGG
rnacentral:rRNA from 1 species